UACGUAGGGUGCGAGCGUUGUCCGGAAUUAUUGGGCGUAAAGAGCUCGUAGGCGGUCUGUCGCGUCUGCUGUGAAAUCCCGAGGCUCAACCUCGGGCUUGCAGUGGGUACGGGCAGGCUAGAGUGCGGUAGGGGAGACUGGAAUUCCUGGUGUAGCGGUGGAAUGCGCAGAUAUCAGGAGGAACACCGAUGGCGAAGGCAGAUCUCUGGGCCGUAACUGACGCUGAGGAGCGAAAGCAUGGGGGAGCGAACAGG
rnacentral:rRNA from 1 species